rnacentral:snRNA from 1 species
AUUGCUUCUUGGCCUUUUGGCGGAGAUCAACUGUAG